CACGUAGUUAGCCGGCGCUUCUUAUCCAGCUACCGUCAACCCACCCACCAGGGGCAGGCCUGCUUCACUGGCGAAAGAGGUUCACAACCCGAAGGCCUCCAUCCCUCACGCGGCGUCGCUGCAUCAGGCUUGCGCCCAUUGUGCAAUAUUCCCCACUGCUGCCUCCCGUAGGAGUCUGGGCCGUGUCUCAGUCCCAGUCGUGACCGUCCACCCUCUCAGGCCGGCUACCCGUCACCGCCUUGGUAGGCCAUCACCCCACAACAAGCUGAUAGGCCGCGAGCCCAUCCCCCACCAGAAAAAACCUUCCCAGACCCAUCAUGCGACAGACCCAGAAUAUCCCGUAUUAGCCACACUUUCAUGCGGUUAUCCAGAGAAGGGGCAGGUACUCACGUGUACUCACCGUUCGCCACUCACUCCACACCCCCAAAAGGACGCGCUUCACCGUUCGACU
rnacentral:rRNA from 1 species